rnacentral:rRNA from 1 species
CCUACGGGAGGCAGCAGUGAGGAAUAUUGGUCAAUGGGCGCGAGCCUGAACCAGCCACGUAGCGUGAAGGAUGACUGCCCUCCGGGUUGUAAACUUCUUUUAUAAAGGAAUACAGUGAGGCACGUGUGCCUUUUUGUAUGUACUUUAUGAAUACGGAUCGGCUAACUCAGUUCCAGCAGCCGCGGUAAUACGGAGGAUCCGAGCGUUAUCCGGAUUUAUUGGGUUUAAAGGGAGCGUAGAUGGGUUGUUAAGUCAGUUGUGAAAGUUUGCGGCUCAACCGUAAAAUUGCAAUUGAUACUGGCAGCCUAGAGUACAGUUGAGGUAGGCGGAAUUCGGGGUGUAGCGGUGAAAUGCGUAGAUAUCAGGAAGAACUCCGAUUGCGAAGGCAGCUUACUAAACUGCCACUGACAUUGAUGCUCGAAAGUGUGGGUAGCAAACAGGAUUAGAUACCCCAGUAGUC